rnacentral:misc_RNA from 1 species
CAUGAUUUGAGGUCAAGGCUUAGUAUUAUUCCUCAGGAUCCAACAAUGUUCGAGGGAACAGUUAGAGGAAACCUAGAUCCAGUUUCACAAUACUCUGAUACUGAAAUCUGGGAGGUAUGUAUUGCACACGGUAUUGCAAAAUAGUUAUUUGGGUCAGUGAAAUAAUGUAGUCAAGACUUCUUUUGUCAGGCUCUGGACAAAUGUCAACUUGGCAAUAUAGUACGUGCAAAGCCAGAGAAACUAGAAUUUACAG